AGUCCUGUGUUUGGAGCACCAGAAAUAAACCAGCUUCAGAAGCAAAAACGACGUUAACAGGAGGAGGAAGCAGAGCUAGAGCUGGAAGGAGACCCAGCCAGCCCGGGCUCCAGUGACAUCAGCCGGUACACGCUCUUGUUUGCUUACGCUUGUUGAACUGAGUUUUUCAUAUGUAACUAACCAAUACUGGCACAUGUGAGCCCGAGAAUUUGCAUUUCUGACAAGAUCCCAGGUGAGGCUCACUCGUGCUGCUGGCUUUGGGACCACACUUAACUCCCGGAUUUGAACGUCUAUGACACUCUUCCGAGCUGACACAGUGAAGAACAUGGAAGGAGAACUCACCCAGUCUGCCAGGGUCACAGAUGAUCAUACUCAAGAUCUUCCUGGGGAGUCAACGGCAAAUUUCACUGGGCUACUUUACAGAUGAAGAAGGAAUAUAAAGAAGGUUCUGGGACCCUGAAGUCCACGGAACACCCACCAUUACCUGAUCUUUGGAGCUUGUCAUUUGGCCAGUGGACCCUAAUAAACAUGUCCACGGGGAUGUGGGGAUGGAAUGCCGGAGCCUGGCUCGCUAGGGCAUCCAGGUUCUUCCUCUUUGCCCUGCUGUCUCCAGGCACCAAGAAUCUCCUGCAGUUCCCCAAAGAUGAACCCCCCAGUAUCUCAGGUCACUCUGUUUCCCUUGAUCUUUACCAAAUUCCUGACUCAGAGUUCCUCCCAUUUGCUUCUGACUCUCAUUUUAUUCUUAUGAUGUUUACCAUUUCUGUUCUCCUCAGUGUCCCUCUCUGAGUGCUAAGAGUAUGUUAAUAAGCCAGUGCUCAGACCACAGCACAAGGCAACUGCUCAGUGUCGGUCAUUAUCACUGUUAUUAAAUGUAACUUAAGGGAA
rnacentral:sRNA from 1 species